UAACGCAUUAAGUGCCCGCUGGGGAGUACGCCGCAAGGUAAAACUCAAAGGAAUUGACGGGGGCCCGCACAAGCGGCGGAGCUGGGAUUAAUUCGAUGCAACGCGAAGAACCUUACCAAGGCUUGACAUGUUCUCGAUCGCCGUAGAGAUACGGUUUCCCCUUUGGGGCGGGUUCACAGGUGGUGCAUGGUGUCGUCAGCUCGUGUCGUGAGAUGUUGGGUUAAGUCCCGCAACGAGCGCAACCCUCGUUCCAUGUUGCCAGCACGUAAUGGUGGGGACUCAUGGGAGACUGCCGGGGUCAACUCGGAGGAAGGUGAGGACGACGUCAAAUCAUCAUGCCCCUUAUGUCUUGGGCUUCACGCAUGCUACAAUGGCCGGUACAAUGGGUUGCGAUACUGUGAGGUGGAGCUAAUCCCAAAAAGCCGGUCUCAGUUCGGAUUGGGGUCUGCAACUCGACCCCAUGAAGUCGGAGUCGCUAGUAAUCGCAGAUCAGCAACGCUGCGGUGAAUACGUUCCCGGGCCUUGUACACACCGCCCGUCAAGUCACGAAAGUUGGUAACACCCGAAGCCGGUGGCCUAACCCUUGUGGGGGGAGCCGUCGAAGGUGGGACCAGCGAUUG
rnacentral:rRNA from 1 species